CGUACACUCCUACGGGAGGCAGCAGUGGGGAAUUUUGGACAAUGGGCGAAAGCCUGAUCCAGCCAUGCCGCGUGCAGGAUGAAGGCCUUCGGGUUGUAAACUGCUUUUGUACGGAACGAAACGGCCUUUUCUAAUAAAGAGGGCUAAUGACGGUACCGUAAGAAUAAGCACCGGCUAACUACGUGCCAGCAGCCGCGGUAAUACGUAGGGUGCAAGCGUUAAUCGGAAUUACUGGGCGUAAAGCGUGCGCAGGCGGUUAUGUAAGACAGUUGUGGAAUCCCCGGGCUCAACCUGGGAACUGCAUCUGUGACUGCAUAGCUAGAGUACGGUAGAGGGGGAUGGAAUUCCGCGUGUAGCAGUGAAAUGCGUAGAUAUGCGGAGGAACACCGAUGGCGAAGGCAAUCCCCUGGACCUGUACUGACGCUCAUGCACGAAAGCGUGGGGAGCAAACAGGAUUAGAUACCCUUGUAGUCCC
rnacentral:rRNA from 1 species